rnacentral:rRNA from 1 species
CAGCCGCCGCGGUAAUACGUAGGUCCCGAGCGUUGUCCGGAUUUAUUGGGCGUAAAGCGAGCGCAGGCGGUUAGAUAAGUCUGAAGUUAAAGGCUGUGGCUUAACCAUAGUACGCUUUGGAAACUGUUUAACUUGAGUGCAGAAGGGGAGAGUGGAAUUCCAUGUGUAGCGGUGAAAUGCGUAGAUAUAUGGAGGAACACCGGUGGCGAAGGCGACUCUCUGGUCUGUAACUGACGCUGAGGAGCGAAAGCGUGGGGAGCGAACAGGAUUAGAUACCCCCGUAGUCCCUGUCUCUUAUACC